rnacentral:precursor_RNA from 1 species
CAGCUGUGACGUGGCGGAGCCAGGCUUUGAACCAGAUCUGGCUCCACACCACAGACUGUC